rnacentral:rRNA from 1 species
GCAAGUCGAACGGAAACAGGACGCUGUGAUCUCUUCGGAGUGAACUUGUCGCUGUCGAGUGGCGGACGGGUGAGUAAUGCAUAUGAAUUUGCCUUGCAGUGGGGGCUAGCCCGGAGAAAUCCGGAUUAAUAGCGCAUAUGCUCUACGGAGCAAAGUGUGCCUCUUCUUGAAAGCAUACGCUUUGAGAGAAGCCUAUGUCGGAUUAGCUAGUUGGUAGGGUAAAAGCCUACCAAGGCGACGAUCCGUAGCUGGUUUGAGAGGAUGAUC